AUUGGUCCAACUUGUCGGCUGUCAGGGAGCCCUUCAACUCGUCGCUUUGAGCGGAGAUCUGGUAGCAUCGUCGAGCGAGCUGUUGAUCCCCGCGCAUCUCUCCGACUCCAUUUUUGGUCGGGAACCGAACCAGGAGAUGAUACGUCGAAACUAUCGCCCUGAGGGCAUUUAGUCCGGGUCUUCCAAGUAUAGCAUUGUAGGCCGAAGGCACUUGGACGACCGCAAAGGUCAAGUGGACUGUGCUUUGUCAUGGUUCGGUUCCAGUCAUCACGGGCAAAGUAACUUCUCCUUCCACC
rnacentral:lncRNA from 1 species